rnacentral:rRNA from 1 species
GACAACGAUGGAUAGGGGUUCUGAGAGGAAGGUCCCCCACAUUGGAACUGAGACACGGUCCAAACUCCUACGGGAGGCAGCAGUGAGGAAUAUUGGUCAAUGGACGAGAGUCUGAACCAGCCAAGUAGCGUGAAGGAUGACUGCCCUAUGGGUUGUAAACUUCUUUUAUAUGGGAAUAAAAUGUUCCACGUGUGGGAUUUUGUAUGUACCAUAUGAAUAAGGAUCGGCUAACUCCGUGCCAGCAGCCGCGGUAAUACGGAGGAUCCGAGCGUUAUCCGGAUUUAUUGGGUUUAAAGGGAGCGUAGGUGGAUUGUUAAGUCAGUUGUGAAAGUUUGCGGCUCAACCGUAAAAUUGCAGUUGAAACUGGCAGUCUUGAGUACAGUAGAGGUGGGCGGAAUUCGUGGUGUAGCGGUGAAAUGCUUAGAUAUCACGAAGAACUCCGAUUGCGAAGGCAGCUCACUGGACUGCAACUGACACUGAGGCUCGAAAGUGUGGGUAUCAAACAGGAUUAGAUACCCUGGUAGUCCACACAGUAAACGAUGAAUACUCGCUGUUUGCGAUAUACGGCAA